GGGAGUGUAGCUCAGUGGUAGAGUACUUGCCUAGCAUGUCCAAGGCCCUGGGUUUGAUCCCCAACACUGCCA
rnacentral:tRNA from 1 species